ensembl:lncRNA
CAGGAUUACUAGAAACUUCCAAGCAGGUGUGAUUUGGAGCUGGUUGGAGCUAAACUCUGCAGAGCUGUGGCCCUCUAGGAAUUGAGUUUGAGACCAUUGGUUUAUAGGCACAUAAGCACUUCUAAUCACAUCCUGCUCCAGUGAGACCAACUGCCAUUGAGAUGAAUGGAGAUGCUAACGGCUAACAGCUUCCUUCAGGUUAUUGUACUGGGACUUUAUUUCCCACGAGUUGCACCUGCUGUCGCCUCUGGAGCUCACUGUGGGUUCAGUGCUGAUGGAACGCAGAGCGGACGCAGCCUGACAUCUGAGAACGCUGAGAGCUCACGUCUAAAAGAACACAAGAUUGAAUUCUGAGUAAUUAAUGCAUCCGUUGUCUUCAGUGGAGAGGAGGAGAGGCAGCAGGACGUGAGUGAGAUGAAGCCCUCUGACAGGAUGUUUAUGAGGUGUCAGUUUGCGUUUGGAUCAGAGGAGCUGAUGGGGGCGGAGAGGGAGACGCUUGGCCUGUAUGGAGCUCAACUGCGUGACCCAUUUGCUCUGUUUGGAUCGGUUCAGUGGUGUUGUGACGAGGUGCUCUGGAUGCCGUUCCAAUCCUCGGAUCUGGAUCUCGCUCCCUGACAUGGCAGAGCAUGAGUCAGCUGUCAAGCGCACAAACACGCGUGUUCACCGUCGGCCAUGUGUGCAGCAUGAGGCCAGCGCUGAAGAACCUGAUGCUCACUCAAGAACUGUAUUUCAGUGAUGGUCAUGGUAAACUUUUAGGAAUAUUGCUUAAAGCCACUUCGAGCACUAAACGACCUGUUGUAUCUAAAGUGGCUGCAGUUCAUGGACUUUUCUUUUGUGCUGUUGGCAUAAUACGGGUCUAUUGUGGACACAGACAUACAAUUUGUAUUGUACCCCAAUUUUUGUACCCAACAGUGAGGUCACAUUAGCAAAGUAAGAAGGUCCAUUGUCUGUUAUGAAUAGUGUAGCAAUUCUUAGUUUGGAAGUGACUUACUCAGAGGUCACUUCCAAACGAAACAGUUUUACAUUGUGACAAAUUCACAUGUUUAGAGUUUAAGAUACAUGAAUCCGAUGCGAAAUCUGUGUUGGAAAUUUUUCACCAGUGUGCAGUCACAAUAGCAAACUUUCAGCAACCCAGCUUGAUGAGCACUUUUUUUGCGUUUUAUGAUGUCAUUUUCUAAACAAGUUGGGCUGCAUUGUAUUUAAAAAACUGCACAUCUUUUUUUAAUUAUUUCAAUAAAUCACUUGUUUUUCUAAAGAAACAUUGUUCAACAGCGACA